AAUAAGUGUAGUUUUACACUAUUCACGUUCAACGUUUAACCGUUCGUCUUAUUUGAAAUUUUUAUUUGAAAUUUUUUUAUGAUUAGUAUUUUUGUUGCUAUUAGAUGAUAAAACAUGAAUAGUACUUUACGUGUGACUAAAUAUUUUCAAAUUUUUCACAAAUUUUUCAAAUAAGACGGACGGUCAAAUGUUGGGCACGGAUAUCCACGGCUGUACUUAUU
rfam:Oryza barthii chromosome 4, whole genome shotgun sequence.